rnacentral:rRNA from 1 species
UGGGGAAUAUCGGGCAAUGGAGGAAACUCUGACCCAGCGACGCCGCGUGCAGGAUGAAGGCCUUCGGGUUGUAAACCGCUUUCAGUAGGGAAGAAGCGAAAGUGACGGUACCUACAAAAGAAGCACCGGCUAACUAUGUGCCAGCAGCCGCGGUAAUACAUAGGGUGCAAGCGUUGUCCGGAAUUAUUGGGCGUAAAGAGCUCGUAGGUCGUUUGUUACGUCGGAUGUGAAAACCUGAGGCUCAACCUCAGGCCUGCAUUCGAUACGGGCAAACUAGAGUUUGGUAGGGGAGACUGGAAUUCCUGGUGUAGCGGUGGAAUGCGCAGAUAUCAGGAGGAACACCAAUGGCGAAGGCAGGUCUCUGGGCCAAUACUGACACUGAGGAGCGAAAGUCUGGGGAGCGGACAGGAUUAGAUACCCUGGUAGCCCAGACCGUAAACGGUGGGCACUAGUUGUGGGAACCUUCCACGGUUUCUGCGACGCAGCUAACGCAUUAAGUGCCCCGCCUGGGGAGUACGAUCGCAAGAUUA